AUAUUUAAUAUGUUUUAUAUAAAUAAAAAAGACAUUAAAACAUUUAAAAAUGAGUUUAUUUUAAAUAUUAAUAAAAUAUUAGGAUAUGAUUAUAAUUUAAUGCUAAAUUUUGUUUUAAAAUAUCUUUUGAGGCAAAGUUAUCCUUCUUUCCUCAUCUCUCUCAUCGGCACCCUUAACCCUAAUCCUCCCAAUCACUCCCAACCCGUCACCUCUGACUUAUUUCAAUUAAAAAAUCCAAAAUCUGUGGAGAGAGAGAAAAAUCAAAGAGCAAAACCAAAAUCUGUCGAGAGAGAGAGAGAAAAAUUGAAGAGCAAAAAUCUUUUGUUUACGCUCCUAGUGACAGUAGCUUUCUUCUUGUUUAGUUUUGAAUAUUGGCACCGUGUUGUGUUAUUGUGUUGAUCACUUCACAUCUUUUUUGAAUUUUAUAAGGAUAAAUUGUUUGAAAAAAAAAAUACAAGUGAAAUGAGGAAGAGGAUAUUUUUAUCCAAAAAAUAGGAAAAAAACGAUUUUAAAAUAAAACCCAACGUUAGAAAUAAUUUUGAAUAAAAAAAAACCCUAUGAAUAAUUUUAAUUUUCACUUAAAAUUAGAGAGAUCGACAUUGUGAUUCGUCCCUUAUUUAUAACAUUCUUUACAUUUUUUAAUGUACUUGUAUUUUACUUGUCCAUGUCAACAUCUUUCGAGUCAUAAACAUACUUAAAAUUAGAGAAAAGACAUAUACCUAAAAUUUAUAAGUAGCCAACAUAUUUUAAGUAUGUUAUAUAUUAUCAGUCAUAUAUUAUCACAUAAACAAAAGAAAGUAAAUUUUAUAUUCUCUAUUCAAAAUUAAAGUCUAAUUGUUUAUAAAAAAAAUUUAGACAAGAGUAGUUUUUAUAUUUUCAAAAAUCAAUAAUUAUCCAAAUAUUUGAAGAAACAAGCGACAUUUGGCAAAUUCAAUUCUGGAUGGAAGAGAUUUGCAAUAGACAAUAGUUUGAAUGUAGGGGACAUUUGUGUUUUUGAGCUCACCAAUCCCAAAGACCUUUAUUUUAAGGCAUCCAUAGCUCGAAUUGAAGAAGAGGAACUUUCGCUAUCACAAGGUAAUUAUUCUAGUUGGUAUUUCAGCGAAAGAGUCCCAAAUUGUUCUGCUUCUGCAUUGUAAUGGUUGCUAGUGAAGUUAGUUACACGUUAUUGGUAGUGGUAAGUGGUAACACGGUAAAAGUUUCUUGUUAUAGAUGUUGAGCUAUCCGAGUUUGUUAGUCCAAGUCACCAGGCUCUUAACAGUUUCUCUCAACCCAGCUUUCUCUGUUUUAUUGUUAUGGUCAUUUUACAAAUCAGAUGCACCGAUUUGUUUUUGAAAAAAUUACAAAUUUUAUAAUGUUAAAUCCAACUAUUCGAUUCUUUAAAUAUAUUCCUUCUGUCUUUAGAUAAUUAUAUUGAAAAGGAAAAAUUAUUGAUUAAUAUCUAUUGCUUUUCUUUUCUGAAUAUUAAACAAUACUUCUCCAAAUAUAUCUUUUGAUAUGCUAAAUUUUUAUCUUGUUAAAUUAUAUUAUAUAUAUUAAAACUACAAAUUUACCUGUCAUAAAAAAAAAUCAGUUUUCUAGUUUAGGAUAAUAAUAUAUAUUGGUACCUAGUUUUACUUUAUGCAAUAGCUUUUAAAGAUAUAUUUUUUGGCAUUUCCAAUUGCACAAUUUUAAAUAAAAGAAAUUGUCACCACCAUAAUAAGUUUCAUAUUCCCGAACUACAUAAUUUUCAUCAUUCCCCAUUGUUUUGGGAUGUGGUUGCAAAUUGUUAUCAACAAAAUUUUCGUAUGCAAAAUAUUAUUUUAUCCUAAAAUUUUUGAAGACGGAGACUGAAACUUUAAUAAUAUUUUAUAUCUAAAAUGUUCUAUUUCAAUUAAUUAAUUCUAACUUUAUUAUUUAUUCCAAUUAAAUUAGAGUUUCAUUCUUAUUUCAUUCCGUUCGUGUCUUCUACUUUAUACAAAACAUAAUACUGAGACUUAUUUCAGUCUGUCUCUCAAUUGUCAGUGUUUCCAUCUCUAUCUCCCUUUCAAACACUACCUUAAGUCACACAAUAGCUUUUAAAGAGAAUUUUGUUUCACAAUACGAAUGGCAAAUUUGCCAAAGCUAGGCAUGUGUUAUGCCUACUUUCAUUCAUAUUGGAUUUUUUUCCUUUGCCGAUUAAAGAAAUAGGACCAGAGUUUUCUCUACCUUUACAUCUACAAUGAUGAGGCUGAAGGUCAUCAUAUAAUAUGAUAUCUGCUUGCCCUGACGGUCCAAUAUAUCAAAAUGAUGCGGCUGGACCCAACAAUAUGGUGGAAGGUUUGCCACGUUCAAAUGAGGCUGUUGGUAUCAGUAACAGUGGUCUUGAAACUUGCUAAAAGUAAAAAGAAUUGCCGAAUGUAUUGUAGAUUUAUGUGAUGGUUCGCCACUUGGAGUCAAUGUGAUGGCCAGAGUGAUGAAAGGUGUAGACGAUGUUGACGUUAAUAUCUGGAGACAUACAAUGAACAAACUUAAAAAUUCAGCAAUGGGAGAAGACAUGGAAGAAGAGGUUAUAAAAGGUAUUAAAACGAAGCUAUGACCAUUCAAGAUUGUUUCUUGCAACGUGCAUUAUACAGUGAGGUUUCAGAAUUAGUGAGUGUGUGCGGCACCAUUAUAGUCUCUGAAUUUCUUCCAAAAGUUUCGGUCAACUCCUUUCCAAAACUAACAGUCUCCUUCGGCUUUUGAAUCUAUAAGGGUGUUUGAAAACUUUGUGUAAUUCAAUUCAAUUUCCGUCGUUCGAAACAAAAAUAAUUAAAUUAGUUUAAAUGAAAUUUAAUUAAUUUUUUAAAA